rnacentral:rRNA from 1 species
CCCUUAGAUGUCCUGGGCCGCACGCGCGCUACACUGAUGCAUGCAACGAGUUUAUAACCUUGGCCUGAAAGGUCUGGGUAAUCUUUUGAACGUGCAUCGUGAUAGGGAUAGAUUAUUGCAAUUGUUAAUCUUGAACGAGGAAUUCCUAGUAAACGCGAGUCAUCAGCUCGCAUUGAUUACGUCCCUGCCCUUUGUACACACCGCCCGUCGCUACUACCGAUUGAAUGGUUUAGUGAGAUCUUCGGAUUGGCGCCACUGCGGCUCAGCAAUGGGCUCGGUGGAUGCCGAAAAGUUGAUCAAACUUGAUCAUUUAGAGGAAGUAAAAGUCGUAACA